AAGGAAUAUUGGUCAAUGGACGGAAGUCUGAACCAGCCAUCCCGCGUGCAGGAUGACGGCCCUAUGGGUUGUAAACUGCUUUUAGCAGAGACGAAACGCCAUCAUUUAUGAUGGUCUGACGGUAUCUGCAGAAUAAGCACCGGCUAACUCCGUGCCAGCAGCCGCGGUAAUACGGAGGGUGCAAGCGUUAUCCGGAAUCACUGGGUUUAAAGGGUGCGUAGGCGGAAAUUUAAGUCAGUGGUGAAAUCUUGUCGCUUAACGAUAAAAUUGCCAUUGAUACUGAAUUUCUUGAAUUGGGUUGAGGUUAGCGGAAUGUGACAUGUAGCGGUGAAAUGCAUAGAUAUGUCAUGGAACACCAAUCGCGAAGGCAGCUAGCUGGGCCUUGAUUGGCGCUGAGGCACGAAAGCGUGGGGAUCAAAC
rnacentral:rRNA from 1 species